CAGCACCUCAAGUGGUCAGGAUGAUUAUUGGGCCUAAAGCAUCCGUAGCCGGCUCUGUAAGUUUUCGGUUAAAUCUGUACGCUCAACGUACAGGCUGCCGGGAAUACUGCAGAGCUAGGGAGUGGGAGAGGUAGACGGUACUCGGUAGGAAGGGGUAAAAUCCUUUGAUCUAUUGAUGCCCACCUGUGGCGAAGGCGGUCUACCAGAACACGUCCGACGGUGAGGGAUGAAAGCUGGGGGAGCAAACCGGAUUAGAUACCCGAGUAGUCC
rnacentral:rRNA from 1 species